UACGUAGGGUGCAAGCGUUGUCCGGAAUUAUUGGGCGUAAAGAGCUCGUAGGCGGUCUGUCGCGUCGGCUGUGAAAACUCGGGGCUCAACCCCGAGCCUGCAGUCGAUACGGGCAGACUAGAGUGCGGUAGGGGAGACUGGAAUUCCUGGUGUAGCGGUGAAAUGCGCAGAUAUCAGGAGGAACACCGGUGGCGAAGGCGGGGUCUCUG
rnacentral:rRNA from 1 species